AGACAUUGAGAAGUGUGUGCGGUUGGCGCAGUCGUCGUUCUGAGAUUAUACGGUUGAACUUGAUCUGGAUAAUUCCAGCGAAAGGACUCAUGCGCGCAUCUCC
rnacentral:ncRNA from 1 species